CUCUUCCUUCUAAAAAAAGCAUGCAGAAGGAAAUUUUCAGAGAUUAAAGAAUUCAACCCUCACCGUCGCUCUUCAUCUGCCUUCGCUGCGCCACCAUGUCUCCUCCAAGUGCUAACAACUUCUUCUGAUAUGAGAGCGCUCAUUCUGUUGAUGUGGGCAAUAAUGAAAUUGAAUUGUGGGUGACAAGACUCAUCAAGUCAUGGGACAAUAUAUGGAUAAACUUGAGGAAUAUAAAAAGGAGUUGAGAUAAACCCCGACAAAGUCUAAUUGGAGGUUGUAGG